ACUAUCCGUACCCAUGCUGGUGGCCCAUAGAUGAACAUUGUUUCAAUGCUUCAGAUUGUGAGCCUGAAAAGGGAAUCUGGUGAAAAUCCAGAACUGACGCGCAGCGGUAAUAGAGAACGAAUACCUUGGGUAAGACCCGAACACUGUUUAGCUUGCUAAGUGGGAAGUGAGGUACUAGGCGCUUAUAGUUUAUAGGCAUGCUCUUAAGUCCGAAUAUCUGCCAGUAAAUAAAAACACCUA
rnacentral:ncRNA from 1 species